UCUUCAGUUGUGUUCCCCGUGUCUUGUGGGGUUGGAAUGACAUGAGGAUUACUUCCAAAAUCGUGUUUCCACAUCUGAGAUGAAGGCAGUGAAAAGAACGAAGUGGAAUGAGAAUAAGCUCUUCAAAAAACACAACUUCUCUGAAUAAUGUGGGGGAAGAUGUAUGCAUGAUUUGUAAAUAAACACUUUAAAUACAUUGUCUAACUCUCAGCCUGUUAUUUGAAAUAAAAUAAAAAGUAAAAUCACAUUAUUUGUUGCAUUGCAGUUUGAGACAUUCCCUGUUUUGUACCUUAAUUCAUUAUUGCAGAUGUGUGAAAACUUAUUUGGGAUAUUCUGGUUGUAUUUCAAUGGUAUUGUACAGCAUUUUAUUUGUAUUGCAUUUCAGUAGUAUUGUA